rnacentral:lncRNA from 1 species
ACAGUUUUCUAGAUUCGAGAGAGAUACAUCAGCUCCUUUGCUGCGAUAAUGGUUGACGUCGCCGACAAAUUGGGUUACUUCCAGGCGGUUACAGGUCUCGAAGAUGCCGAUUUAUGCACAGAGAUCCUCCAAGCUCAUGGCUGGGACCUCGAACUCGCUAUCUCCUCCUUCACAUCAUCAUCUCACCCUUCGUCUUCCCUCGUCGAUGGCGAUCACAAUCGCGAACCCUUCACUGAACUCGAAGAUGCCCCUUCUCGCGCAAUCGAAUUUGACGACGGGAGAGCGUUCAGGCCUCCGGGAAUCGCCUGGAAGAUCAUCACCUUACCGGUUUCGAUCGUCUCCGGUAGCUUAGGGUUAGCUUCUAGUGCGAUCGGGUUCGGAUUCUGGGUCGCCGGCGGAGCUUUGAGUUAUUCACUUGGCAUGUUAGGGUUCGGAUCAGGUCGUGGUGGGUCUGAGACUGAGUCGUCGUCGUCGUCGUCAUCGGCGGCAGGUGAAGCGAUGGAGUUCAUUGCUUUGUUCGAUAGAGACUAUGGGAGAAACCCUCUAAAGCCUGGUUUUGUAUCAGAAGGUUUCAUGGACGCGCUUCAGCUAUCUAGGAGCCAGUUUAAGCUCUUGUUUGUUUACUUGCACUCUCCCGACCAUCCUGAUACGCCUGCGUUUUGCGAGAGGACGCUUUGCGACGAAGGGGUUGUUGCGUUUUUGAAUGAGAACUUUGUGGCUUGGGGAGGUAGUAUACGAUCUAGUGAAGGGUUUAAGAUGAGUAAUAGCUUCAAGGCUUCCAGGUUUCCUUUUUGCGCUGUGGUUAUGCCUGCUGCUAAUCACAGAAUCGCUCUUCUCCAGCAGGUAGUCAAAAUAAAUACUUGGAUGAGUGAGUUUGGUAUUAUUAAAUAUAUUAAGGUGGUGGCAAGAGAUGUAGUUCUUGGUUUUAGUUUGUUCUUUGUUCCGUUUGCUUGUGGCAGGUGGAAGGACCAACAACUCCAGAAGAAAUGAUUGCUAUACUGCAAAGAGUUGUAGAAGAUAGUUCAACUGUUCUUGUAACCGCAAGGGUUGAGGCAGAGGAAAGAAGAACCAAUUUGCGCCUGAGAGAGGAACAAGAUGCUGCUUACAGGGCUGCUCUUGAAGCCGAUCAAGUAUGUUUUCCCCCUUCCCCAAGACAGAUUAUCAUUAGUCUUUUGUCUAAAUUUGUUGUUUCUUUCCUUUGUGUGUUUUAUUAGGCAAGGGAGCGACAGAGACAGGAAGAUCAAGAGCGUAUAGAAAGGGAAGCUGCUGAAGCAGAGAGGAAACGCAAAGAAGAGGAAGAAGCUCGGGAGAGAGCAGAGCGUGAAGCUGCAGAGAGAGAAGCUGCUAGAGUGAGAAUGAGACAAGAGAAAGCUCUUGCUCUUGGAGACGAACCUGAGAAAGGUCCUGAUGUCACACAAGUAAGUUCUCCUUCUUUCUUUACCAAUUCAUUACUUAGUCUACGCCAAAGACAUCAAUUCUACUUCGCUUAAAAACUUUGUGAGGGAUGUGCCUCUUUAAAGAUUAGGUUCUAUGGUUCAUCUAGGUUUUGGUACGGUUUCCGAAUGGAGAAAGAAAAGGGAGGAGGUUUGAAAGCAACACCAAGAUACAGACAUUGUACGACUACGUUGAUUCACUUGGAGUGCUGGAAACAGAAGAGUAUAGCUUGAUUACAAACUUCCCAAGAACAGUCUACGGAAGAGACAAAGAGUCAAUGUCACUGAAAGAUGCUGGUUUGCAUCCUCAGGCUAGUCUCUUCAUUGAGAUCAACUGAACUUUCUGUUUCUUUCUUCUUUGGCCUCUCUUUUUAAAUAAUUAGUUUGUUUGCUUCAAUGAUCCGAUGGACAAGUUCACAUAUAUAACACACACAUACAUUCAGAAGUUCUGUUACAUAUUGUUAUAUUUAUUUUCUUAAAUACUACGCAACAACCUCGAAGAGAAAGUAAAGUGGUUUAGCAUGCACAACUUCUCUCUGAUUAUUUAAAUGGACAAAGUGAUAAAAGAGAAUUAAUAAAGAAGCAGAAGUUGUAUACAUGAAGAUACCAUUCUGUAUAUUUUCAGUUUCUCAACGUUCAACUUCGAGCAGGAGUCUUCCCCUUCUUAUCCUUUGUCUCCCUCGCAGAUGCCUUCAUCAAAGGCUUCUCCACAUCGCCCGAGAUGUCAAGAUGAACGCCGGGAUCAUGAGUCUCGUACUUGGCCCCCAUCAUUAGCGAGUUGUUCACAGCUUGAAAGUUGCUGUUAACGAAGGUAGUAAGGAAAUCAAGCUCAUGUUUGUUUUCUCCAUGAUUGUUGUCGAGCUCUGUCUUCAUGGUGGCUCCUAUGUUGGAUCCAGAGAGCGUGAUAACUCUGACGCCUUCAUCCUCCUCCCUUUCUUCAUAUUGGCUCGGUCCUCCCUUCUCUGCUCCCAUGUGGGUUAAAGACGAGAUCAUGUUUUUUAGGUCGUGCUGGAAAUGUUGUCUCCCGUGCUUCUCUUCUUUGCCUCUUGCCUCGGUUAGCUUCAUUGUUUUUAUUAGGUAACUAAUACCAGAAGAAGGGAAUGGAAGCAAGAUACAUAUAUAGUUUAUAUUUUAUGGGAAUAAAAGAUGAGGGCAUUGCCUUGUGUUGCAAUCUAAGAAUUGGAAUAACUUUCCAUUGAGUUCAAGAAUAUCUUUUGGCAAUUGACAAAAAAUUGUAUGACACAAGAGAAAGCACAAAUUCUCUUGGAGAUAAACUUGGUAAGGGUUCUCAUGUCACACAAGUGAGUUCUCCUCCAUUUUCUCUGUAGUUCGCACUGUUACAAAAACUUCAAUCUAUUUCACCUUUUUGGUAUUCUAAAACUUAUCACAUGUUUGAAACUUGCGUUUUGACCUCCUAUGAGAGUAGCUGGGAAAAAGAAAAAAAUACGAAUAAAAGAAGUCAUAACUUCUAUUUAAUAGUAUAGAUGAUUGUGGCAUCAUGCGUUUGGCACUGGAAGAAAGAAAUCCCACAAAAAAGUUUGGCCUGAAAUUUGAUCAAGAGAUAUAAAAAUGAGUUAACUUUCAUCUGGAAGUGAUCCAAAGUCAAUAUUCCAACAUAAUGCACAUCUUACUAGUGAAUUUUCCGUCUGGUAGGGAGACAGUUUUGCGAAAGUUCACAUAAUGCCAUACAGAGCCAUUUCCUCUGAUAACAGCCAUUCCUGACCCUAGAGAGAGAAAAUUAAGAUUUUUGGAUUUCUCUAUUUCGACCUAAUAUAGAAAAUUUUAACUGAUUUGUUAAACUGUUUUCAGCAUAAUCACAGAAAAUUUUCAUCAUUUUCUGAACCUCGUAUUUUUCAAGAAGCAAAUAGGUCCAUAGUUCUAGAGAGAAAUUGUCCACUAUAGUAAGAAAAUACACUGCACCACUUGAUGCAGAUACUCUAUAUGCACCCAAACAUGAAACAUCAACUUGUAUUCAACCAAAAACUUCUGCUAUAUUCAAAUUGUCUGAAAUAGCUCUAAAACACACAUCACAUUUACUAUAGCUAGCUUUACCUAAAACACCAAAAUACAUAGGCGAAGAAGAAAGCACAGAAAAGGCCGGAUGUCCUUGCCUAAGAUGGCACAAAGCUUGAUCGAUAUUCCCAUCAGUUUUUUUGACCCGUGCGACUUUAACAUCCUUAAAAUAAUACACCCCAUCACGUUCCUCGCUGGCUCUAGUCAUAGGCUUCGUGUAACGGUCAUGUAACACACAAAUAGCAUCAGUAAACAAUGAAAAACAAUUUAUGUUCUUUAGAAGCUAUGAAACCGAGAUUAAGGAAAAAUUUAAAUCUGAAACAUAAAGCACAUCUUUUAGUGAUAAUCGUUCAGACAACACCAUUACUCCCAUACUAGAAGACAUCGUAAUACUUCCAUCUGCAAAUCCUACACCAAGUUUAUUUUAUAUUCACCAGCAACGAAAGAUUGCCAGUCAUAUGGUGAGAUGCCUUUGUGUCAAUAAUUACAUCACCAAGUAUCUUACCAUACAGCUUCUCAGAUGAUCCACCUUGUUUUUCUUGAAUUAUAUGAGUGAUAGCCUAUAACUGCUCAUGACUUAGAUCAUCGGCAGUCAAAACAUGAGGAGCUAUAGCAUGUGCUACAUUCGUUGUAUUUCCUCUGCCUCUUCUGAAGCUUCCAUGACCACCUCCUCUACUGAAGCCACGCCCACCAUGACUUCCUCCUAUCUCAGCAGUCCAUUCGGGAUAUCCGACAAGCUGCCAACCUGUAUUUUUAUCAUGACCAGUCUUCCCACAAUGAGAACACCGAAAAUAUAUUGCUUUGUUUCCAGUUGAAAAGUCAGUUAUGCUUCCUUGUCUUGAUGCAACACGACGUAGAAUAUUUGUGGUGUGAUCUUAUGUUUCCCGUUGUGUCACAAGCCCAACAAUAUCUUGUGUUUUUUCUCUGUUUUAAGCUGAUUUCAGUCUUGCUUCUUCUCAAAUCACCUUAGCGUAAACCUUACCGAUAUCAGGUAACUCUAUGGAGCUCACCACUUCCAAAUCUGGAUUCAUCAAGUCCCAUAAUAAAGAACAAUACUUAGGUUCACCCUAUGGUGAAUGGUUAAAUUCACCACAUUCUUCAUAACCAACCAAAAUGCCACGUAGGAAUAGUUUAAAAAAAUAAUAAAAAUAAAAACUUAAAUAGUUGAAAAAAAACAACACCGACAUUAAUUAGCUUUUUUAUUUUUAUUUUUAUUUAUUUUUGUUUGUUUAUUUAAUUUAAACCAAGGAUAUUAGAGACAUUUUACCCUUUAAUGAAUGUCAUUUUUGUGACUUUCUCCUUCUAGUGCUCUUUUUGAGACAUAAACUUCAAAAGAUGCUAUUAUUGACAAUUGCCCAAAUAUAUUUACAAUAAAAACUCUAUGAAUUAAUAAACUUAAUAAAUUAAUAAAUUUCUUCGGUCCCGAGUUAGGUUGGUUCAAAAUAUGACACAAAUCGAUAAAAUAAUAAGAUAAUAUUUUUUUUGAUUAUGCUAUGUAAAUAUAAUGUCUCAUUAAAAUAAUUAACUAAUAAUAUAUAUAAUUUAUAUAAUUAUAAAUAAUAUAUUAUUUUAUUUUGUAUUUAUAAUAGAUUUUAUUUGUAUUUUCUUAAGAUUUUAUAAUAUUUUUGAUUAUAGCUGAUAAAAUAGUAUGAUACACACCUCAUGCAAUAAAAUAAUAUAAUAAAAAGGAUAUGAAAAUUGAAUUUAUAAAUUUUAAUGAAUAUUAUAAAGAGUUAAAUCAAAUAUUUUCUUAUUAUACAAAAGUAUAUAUUAAGAUAUAUAAAGUUAGAGAAGGAAACCUUUUUAUAAAUUAGUAAGUCUAUAAUUAAAAUUCUAUAGUCCUGCAUUAUUAAUUUAUAUAGUUUUUGCUGUAUAUUCUAAAACUGAAGAAAGAAAACAAAUCAAAUGUAACAAAAAAAAGAAAGAUCCAAAAAUAAAAUCCAGAUUGAACAAACAUCCAUCAGAUCGUGUUGGAGUAGAGGGGGUAGUUUAGGUAAUUGACUGACCAAGGACAUCGUCUAUUAUUCGGCACAGUUUUCUAGAUUCGAGAGAGAUACAUCAGCUCCUUUGCUGCGAUAAUGGUUGACGUCGCCGACAAAUUGGGUUACUUCCAGGCGGUUACAGGUCUCGAAGAUGCCGAUUUAUGCACAGAGAUCCUCCAAGCUCAUGGCUGGGACCUCGAACUCGCUAUCUCCUCCUUCACAUCAUCAUCUGACCCUUCGUCUUCCCGCGUCGAUGGCGAUCACAAUCGCGAACCCUUCACUGAACUCGAAGAUGCCCCUUCUCGCGCAAUCGAAUUUGACGACGGGAGAGCGUUCAGGCCUC